GGGAGAUUUAACAACAAAGAGCCCAACAGACUCUGGUAGAUCUUAUCUCUAUGAGGCCUCCGGAGUCUGGAGACAGGGCUAAGGUGUAAACAGAAUAGUCUUUAGUAUGCACAGCUAAUGUGGUCACUUCUGGGACAGUUAAGCAACCCUUUGUUUGUUAUCUAUGUUGUUGUGAAGAACCUAAGGACAAUUAACCGUGAGUGGAUUUACUGCUUACGAGUGAAGGAUAUAUAAGGUGUGUGUAAAACACAAUAAAAAAAACUUGCUAUUCUGAGGACUUGCUAUUCUGAUGCCACACUGACUGAGGGAAUUCUGUAAUGGGACCAAGCGCCGACAAUUGGCGCCCGAAUGGGGACCUGAACGAACAGGAACUCCAAAGAACAGGGACUUGAAUGAACAGGGACUUGAACGAACAGGGACUCGAAAGAUGACCAUGGCUGAAGCUGAGUACCAGACAAGCAUCCAGGAGAAGCUGCCACUCAUAAUUGGCUCCUCUGGAGCAGGACUGGUGUUUCUCAUUGCUGUUGUAGUCGUCAUUACUGUGGGCAACAGAAGAAGGGGCUUGGAGAAGCCUUGCAGAGAAUACGCUGAAAGAAGCGUGGCAGGCUCGGGGAAGCCUUGUGGAAUGCACGCCGAAGGGAGUGUGGCAGGCUCGGGGAAGCCUUGUGGAAAAUACGCUGAAAGAAGCGUGGCAGGCUCAGGGAAGCCUUGUGGAAUGCACACCGAGGGGAGCGUGGCAGGCUCGGAGCAGCCUUGUGGAAUGCACACCGAAAGGAGCGUGGGAGUCCCGGAGAAGCCUUGUGGAAAGUAUGCUGAAGGAAGCGUAAAAGGCUUAAAAAAGAAGCCGUAUCGAGAGGGGGCUGAAAGAAGCCUCAUCGUCCCCAGCCGCUCCGACUGCUUCUUGCUAGACGAAGGUAAGCGCUUGUGCACCAUGGGGAACAAAAUGACCUCGGAACAGGAACAUGUCUUUGCUACUUUUCAAUUUAUCCUUAAACAACGGGGGAAGGCAGUGUCCUCUGCUGACCUGCAACAGAUCCUCAUAUGGGCCGCUAAAAACAAUCCCUCAUUUAUAAAUCAGACAAUUUAUGAUCUGAAAACUUGGGAUGGGAUCGGGGUGAAACUGUGGGAUGCAUCCACUAAAGGUGAUAAGGUGGCAUCUGGGUUACUUGAAACCUGGAGAAAAAUUUUUGAAGCUUUAAAAAGUCAUGCGGGUUCAUCGUUUGCGACCCCCGGUCCAUUCGAGGAUGAAGGAGCCACAGGCCCCUCAUCUGGCUCACCCGCUGUGCCAUCAGCUCCUCCGUUGUCACCACCACGGAGGGUCCUUGUCGCCUCCCCUCCUGAGGGUCCUGACAAUCCUUUUGAGGGUCCUGACAAUCCUU
rnacentral:lncRNA from 1 species